UUAAAAGAUUAGACUAGAGAUUAGAUAAAACUUUAUUAAUCCCUUGGGUGGGUUCUCUGGUGUCGAUGACAACAUCAUCACCAAACUGAACAAAUCAGUGAUCCGGACCAACUGGGGCAAAAAUGAAAAUCGAACUGACAAAAAGAGGCCCAUGAUGAUCCCCGUCACUGCUGCUGUGGUUGUUCUUAUUCUUCUCAUCCUUGUUGGUGGAGUUGGAUUUGUUGUUUACAAAAGGAAGAAAGACAAGAGAUGUAAAAGAGAAAACAUCCCUAUGUCUCCUCCUAACAGCAUCUCUGAACUGACUGAGAAACUGAAUCCAGAGACCAAAUAGACAAACAGAGGACAGAGAUUUCUUCACUUUUAAACUGAAGAAGUCCCAGGAAGAAAAAUCCAAACAGUGUUGUAUGCAUGUUGUUUAAAAUAUGUGAUUUUGAAUGUGCAUAUUUUCAACUUUUGUGGAAGAUAAUUUCUGUUUAAUAUUUGAAGAAAUUUCCAUUGUUUAUUAGCUUUUUUUAAAAAAAAAAAUAACAAUAAAAAUCUGAGCAUCAUUCUCACAGUUUGUACAUUUAAAAGAAAAAAGGAAAUGCUUCACCUGUUUUGUUCAUUUUAUAUUUUUCUUCCUCAUAUUUUGCAAGACAAAACAUCUGUACAACUUCUGCUUUGAAAUAUAGACUUUUACAUUUUUAAUGCAGUUGUGAUUUAAGGGUGAAGAAGUUGUUGUGAACCAUUUGUUCUUUUUAUGAACAGAUCAGGAGCAGCUGUUAUUCUUAACUUGCUGUUAAACAUUUUGUAGUAGAUAUGAUUUAUUUGUUGUUUUUCAGAGCUACAGACACCCGUGUGCAGGUUAAAUAUGUUUCCUUAACUGGACUUUGGCAUUUUUUUUUCUAGACGGAGAGAAUAACAGUUAAUGUUUUUGAUGCUACUAUUUAUUACAUGUGCAUGUGUAAAAGAAAACUAUGCCCUCUCUUAUUAUUAUUUUUGCUGUGGAUUGUGAAGACAAUACUAGACCAUUAAGUCACAUGAACACAGAAAUCUAAAGUGUAAUCAUAUAAAUAUUAUAUGGACAUUAAAUAAUAUAUACAUUUGUAAUUCUAAUGAUGACUGUUAUAUAGAUGAGAGAAGGAGAGACAGAAACUGGUGGGUGAGCUUCCUGCUCUCAACAGAAAAUGU